AUUGAACUCUGUCGGCAGGCCUAACACAUGCAAGUCGAGCGGAGCGGCGGACGGGUGUGUAAUUCCUAGGAAUCGGCCUGGUAGUGGGGGAUACCGUCCGGAAACGGGCGCUAAUACCGCAUACUAUCAGAUGAGCCUAGGUCGGCUUAGCUAGUUGGUGGGGUAAAGGCCUACCAAGGCGACGAUCCGUAACUGGUCUGAGAUGAUGAUCAGUCACACUGGAACUGAGAAACGGUCCAGAAUCCUACGGGAGGCAGCAGUGGGGAAUAUUGGACAAUGGGCGAAAGCCUGAUCCAGCCAUGCCGCGUGUGUGAAGAAGGUCUUCGGAUUGUAAAGCACUUUAAGUUGGGAGGCGUUACCAACAGAAUAAGCACCGGCUGACUUCGUGCCAGCCGCCGCGGUAAUAC
rnacentral:rRNA from 1 species